CAAUUGCUUGCUUUUACUCGCUUUGGAGUAUUUCGAACCAAAAUGUGUAACUUUUUUCCGUUGUAUUGUAUAAAUCUGUGGAUUGAAUGGCUAUAUUUCCAGGAAAUUGAUGUGUUUGGUGCAGGAAAUUAUGUUCUUGUAAUAACUUCGUGGACGGAAGUUGGGACUAAUCUCGGCUUCCCUGUUUAUCGAGUGACCUCGAUGAGGUUUCUGUCCUGCAACGAGGGUAUGAAGAAUUCAACUGCUCAGGAGAAAAAGGAUGAGGCGUACUUCAUGGCUCUGUUGAAAACAGUCCAAUCAACGCCGGGGCUGUACUUCUCGAUUCGAGGUUCAAUUCCGCUUCUUUGGGAGUAAAUUGUUGACUUGAGCUAUAAACCACAACUUAGAAUUAUUACUCAUGAGAGACAAUGGCAGUUCCAUCCCCUUUUACUCUUUUCUUGGCUUCAUGCAUGGCGAUGAAGGUCAACUAAGUACGGCAUUUUCUGCUGAAAUGCAAAAUCUAUCAAAUGUGAGGUGACAAUUUGCAUAUCUAUGUUGGCUCCCAACUGAAUCAUUGUCCCACUGCAAGUAGAUUCCUUUUUUGUUUUCGAGGUUGCCUAUGAUGAAGUCAGUUCUAUUGGUUGGCAUUGGGAACAAUGUCAGAAAUGAGAUUUUGUUCUCAACUUGCUAGUGUUUUUGUUGUAGAUACGUUUCAUUUGACUUCCAUCAAGUAUGUGGUAACUCAAACUUUGAAAACCUAAAGGUUCUAUACGAGCAGAUCUCAGAGCAAUUUGAAAAGCAAGGCUGAGCAGAUACUUCCCCGUAGAUGCGAAAGGCAAUAUACUGGAGGAGCAGAAAGGGAUUGUCAGAUCAAACUGCAUUGGUUGCCUUGAUAGAACAAAUGUUACUCAGAGUUACUUGGCCCAGAAGUCUCUAGAUGCACA